rnacentral:rRNA from 1 species
UACAGAGGGGGCAAGCGUUGUUCGGAAUUACUGGGCGUAAAGAGCGUGUAGGCGGCUUUACAGGUCCGUUGUGAAAACUCGAGGCUCAACCUCGAGACGCCGGUGGAAACCGUCUGGCUAGAGUCCGGAAGAGGAGAGUGGAAUUCCUGGUGUAGCGGUGAAAUGCGCAGAUAUCAGGAAGAACACCCGUGGCGAAAGCGGCUCUCUGGGGUGACGGUACUGACGCUGAGACGCGAAAAGCGUGGGGAGCGAACAGG